rnacentral:rRNA from 1 species
UACGUAGGGUGCGAGCGUUGUCCGGAAUUAUUGGGCGUAAAAGGGCUCGUAGGCGGUCUGUCGCGUCGGUAGUGAAAACUCAGGGCUUAACCCUGAGCCUGCUUCCGAUACGGGCAGACUAGAGGUAUGCAGGGGAGAAUGGAAUUCCUGGUGUAGCGGUGAAAUGCGCAGAUAUCAGGAGGAACACCGGUGGCGAAGGCGGUUCUCUGGGCAUUACCUGACGCUGAGGAGCGAAAGUGUGGGGAGCAAACAGG